rnacentral:lncRNA from 1 species
CGAUAGUUUUCAUUCCCGACGAAGCGGUGAUUACGAAGGCAGUGCACGCCGGCGCGUCAUAUCGUCGCACGUCAACCAAGAGAGUCGUGUGUACCCAACGAAUUAAAUAUUCCAAAGAGGAUGUCUAGCUCGGAGUUGCAGGCUGGACGGUGGCGGCUAUAAACGCUUUUCGUGUAGUAGUAGGCAUAAUACGGAGACUGUGAAAGCUCUAAAAGUCAUAAAACCGAGACUUGUCCGCGCGGCGACCAACGUAUGGCCCAUAAUUAUACGAUAGAGGAAGAAUCGGAAACUUGCCCCCGUCAUCCCUCCGGACAUCUGACCGGUUAUCCGUCCGCCGGUGCAGGUCCUAGGCAUCAUUGGCCCAGCCGUAUUGUACAAUUCGACCGUCAUCCUGAUUGCUACAAUUACUAGCCUCGCUGCAGCUUGUUACGACGCGUAAGGAGGAUCACCCUCGACGGGAGUGCCUCGAAACUCUCGACUGUCAAGCGGGGGUCUCUCUCCUCUCCACGUUGCCUGUUACUCAAGGACAUCGAAAAUAGAAUAUUUCUACGCGAAAAGAAAAAUUCAAGCAUAGUUUCCAGGACUUUUGAAGGACAGGCAAAAUUCAACAUUUCCAAGGCCACUGGGCACCGUGAGAUUACAAAAGCACUGUCCUCUCUAGCCUGGACUGAAAAUUACCGCACACCGGCCAGUCCUCGGCAACGUGACUGUGGUAUAUAGCAAUCCGAGGGGUCCGAAGUCGGCCGAGUCUAUAUGUAGAGGCUUUGGUCGGUCUUAUUUGCCCUGCAGUCCGUGUCCCAGGGGCGAAAACGUAUAGAGUUCUCGAUUACUGUUUGGGGCGAUGGCGAAAGAAAUUAACUACGACCCUCGUCCUACCAGGUGGCUCUUCAAAUCAGCGUGGGUACAACAACGCGCAACACGCUCGAUGCAAGUGGUACCCACCAGAAAGGUGGUUGAAUUUUCGUGGGUGUGGAAGCACGGCGAAGAGAUCAUUCGAGGUGCGGGUUCUCUUUCUGUAACAACUGAUCGUUCCUAUCUUCAGCGGCUCUUAUUGUCUCUCGGAGUAGCGCGAUCACGCUUUUACUGCCUCUUCGCUGUCUAACGCGCCCGGGAGACAACGUGCAGACCGCGGUGCGUGUAACGGAGGCCUAUGGUAGUUUACAACAAACAACGUGGAAUAGGAUCGUUUACCGGUAUAUCUCGAGGCCGGAACGAUUCACGCUCAGGGUUACCUGAGCCACCGAAAUACAAUAUUACACAAUUCGAGACCUGAUUGGACGUGCGUCUCCACGGAACCCGAAAUUUAGGCAUUGGAUUAUACCGUGAGGAUGGGCAGGACGACGGGAUGGCUCUACUCGCGCAUUAUCGUCUUAUACAUACACUGCAGAGGACAAGUCCCACCACACCGGGUUCCGGCGCCUAUAGCCCAUAAAUACGAGCAACCAGCCUCCGUGGUGUUCACGCACGUUGCUGAGAGGUAUGGGUGCUGUACAUGGUACAUCACAUCUACAAGGGGCUCCAUACAUCGCGCGUAACCAACACUCGACGAUGCAUCGUGUCGCUGGACGUGGAAGUAGAUUAUUUUUCUGCUCAACAGCGUACAAGCCGCGCGAGUGUGCGUACGUGCGGUUAUUUUUCGACACUUCGAGUCUCCUUCGACUAUUUUCUCUUAUUAUUAUUUUUAAAUUGUUAUGCUUCCCAAUUCUUUACGCCCAACAUUAUGUUUCCACGAUGUGUGCGGCAUUUUUUUUUCUUCUUCCUUUACCUUUCAUCGUUAUUCCUCCUUGGCCCCCGACGAGCUUCCAUCGUUCCUGAGAGUAGAACCACUACUAUGACCUUGAGGAACCUUGGCGCCGAGAUGAGGCCAAGGCCUACGUGACACAAGGAACCAAUAAACGAACCCCUUCCUCUUCGAUGCAACUGAGCUAACUCCACCGCUGGGACAUAUCGCUUCGCAUUGCGGCAGGAGAUGAUUUUUAUUAAUUGUAAACGCCAUUUGCAACUCGCCAAGUUGCUCGCUUCAUCCGAUGCCGAGGAAAACUCUUCUUCUCAACUGCCGUGCUGGCUCGAGAGCUUCGGCGUGACUCGAAUGCAUCGAGCGACUUGGAUAACCCGCGGGCCGAGUCGCCGGGGGUCUAUUUUCAGUGUUAUAAAUAUACCGUAUGCGCUCAAGGGAUUUAUGGGUUUGGUAAACAAAUGGCGUUCGUUCCGCCUCCCGGCCUGACCAUUAGUAUGCUAAAAGGCUGAUACGGCCAAUAUUUGUACAGUCGCGGUGUCGUACGCGAGCGGAACAACGGAACCAUUUUACUCGCAUAUAACUCGGCUAGUGUUCCUCGAUGUGCUUGUCAUUCGAUAUACGCCUUUAAUCCGGCACACCGUGCGAUAUAUAUAUAUAUAUAUGUCAAAGCAUAUGCAAACAAGCGCACCCAUCGCUCACGCGAAGAAACUUUUCACUGCUGUGGACGAGAAUGAGAAUCAGAGUACAUGUGGUACCUACCCAUGCUUCUUGUUUCGAUUCUUUAAUAUUUCGUCAUCGGCUUAUCCCCCGGAGCUUGAUACGAAUACUGGUGAUUCUAUUUAAAAGCGAGAUUCCGACCAAACAAGGGAUCGGUAAUAUGUUACUGCCUGCUAAUUUAUUACCGUGGACUAAUUAAGCGAAUUUCACGCAAUUUUCCUCGCGCGGUGUGCAUCGAACGAAUAAUCGAUGGUAUAAUGUACAUGGACGCUAAUUGGUGAUAAAUGUCGUUUGCGAACUGACCGAGUCGAAACAGUCCGAUUACGUUACUGCGGUAGGUUAGGACGACCACGUGUUAGACCCAGGGGAAUCGCUGGUCAUAGGUAUACAUUGAAUACAUCCGGUUUUGAGUCCGAUGUAGAAAAACACCGUGUCGAGUUAUUAAUAAACUAGUUCGUGACCACUUCGUGAUGAUUAUAUUGCUGAUUGUGUUACUGUUUGCUGCUCGUUCGUGGUUGCCGAAAGUAACUGUAUCAUGAUUCGGUGAAACAGCGGGCCAAGUUAUCGUAUAAAUAUCGUAUAAAUAACAACUUCAACAACGACGGAUAUAUAAAUAAACCCAUAAAGACUGUAAAUUGUAGACAACGAUUGACGUCACUCGAAAUAGUCGCAUCUUAUAUAAUUACGUGAACAUAAUGCAUAUAGUACAGAAGAUGUUUAACGAUUGUGACGCAAAAAAUUUGUAGGAGCUACCUGUACGUCUGUAAUGUAAAGUAUAAUAUUUAUGUCAUAAAAUACCAGUCUGGAGGAGACACACGCGCGUUUAAACGGUAAGAUUAAAAAUAAGCGAGCGAAGGAUUUUUCUUAUAGCAGAUAUUUAAAAAUAACAGGCUGCCAGCUUGUUGGAAGUUCAAACGAAUGAAAUUAUAAAUAUGUAGAAAGAACUGGAUUUCGACAACACCGCCUUUCGAGAAAUUUAACCCGCAGCUCGUGGCGAAUCGAUGUCACCACCCUGGAAAAAAGAAAUAACGCUUACACACGUGCGGCAGCCGAUAUAAUUUCGUCGAUACUUUCUUCUCCUGUUGGUAUUAAAUUUUUUUCUCAUCUUCCACCUUUUCCUUAUUUCUCUCGUAUUUUCUCUAUCACUCAACUUUUCCCAUCCAUUCCUCCUCCCUUUCCUUUUCGCUCCACCUGUCAAAUCGGCGUGUGUAAAACCGUCCAUGUACGCCAAAAUAUAUCAAAUAUAAUCACACGUUCACUCUCGUGAUUCCGUCUUUCGGUACGUACUCAUUAUAUAUUCGAAGGUCCUCCGUCUCUCUUUUACGAGACUAAACCACACGAAUGCACAGCCGGUUGAUUACAUGCCUAUCGCCUAUAAGACUCACACCAACCGAAUCAAAGCGAGCCGUGGGUAAUGCUCAGGGUACGAGCUUUCAGCGUUAUAAACAAGAGCGAAUGGAAUUUUACACACGUGAAAUUCCAAUAACUUGGACAUGUUUAAUCACGUAUCCAUAGGUAUAGUUGGUGUAAAUAUGUACAUACGCACGGUGUAUUUUAUCGAAAAAUAAACCAACCAAUUCGAUGCUUGGAUCAU